CGGGUGAGUAACGCGUGGAAAUCUGCCUCAUAGUGGGGGAUAACUUGGGGAAACCCAAGCUAAUACCGCAUACGCUCUAAGGAGGAAAGUGGGGGAUCUUCGGACCUUACGCUAUGAGAUGAGUCCGCGUCGGAUUAGCUAGUUGGUAGGGUAAAGGCCUACCAAGGCGACGAUCCGUAGCUGGCCUGAGAGGGUGGUCAGCCACACUGGGACUGAGACACGGCCCAGACUCC
rnacentral:rRNA from 1 species